rnacentral:tRNA from 1 species
AAAGAAUUAGUUAAACUAUAACAUUAGAAUGUCAAACUAAAAUUAUUAUAUUAAAUAAUAUUCUUUA